GAUGAACGCUAGCGGGAGGCCUAACACAUGCAAGUCGAACGGGAUCCCCGGGCAACCGGGGUGAGAGUGGCGCACGGGUGAGUAACGCGUAUGCAACCUGCCUUUAACAGAGGGAUAGCCCAUAGAAAUGUGGAUUAAUACCUCAUAGUUCUUUUGAUCCGCAUGGGUUGAAAGAUAAAGCUGCGGCGGUUAAAGAUGGGCAUGCGUGACAUUAGCUUGUUGGUGAGGUAACGGCUCACCAAGGCUACGAUGUCUAGGGGUUCUGAGAGGAUGAUCCCCCACACUGGUACUGAGACACGGACCAGACUCCUACGGGAGGCAGCAGUGAGGAAUAUUGGUCAAUGGGCGCAAGCCUGAACCAGCCAUCCCGCGUGCAGGAUGACGGCCCUACGGGUUGUAAACUGCUUUUGUACACCAAGAAAAAACAGGACGUGUCCUGGUCUGACGGUAGUGUAUGAAUAAGCAUCGGCUAACUCCGUGCCAGCAGCCGCCGUAAGAC
rnacentral:rRNA from 1 species